rnacentral:rRNA from 1 species
GCAUCGAAGCAGAACGCAGCAAAGCGCAUCGAUGAAGAACGCAGCGAAAUGCGAUACGUAGUGUGAAUUGCAGAAUUCCGUGAGUCAUCGAAUCUUUGAACGCACAUUGCCGGUCGACUCUUCGGAGGAGACCACAUCUGCCUCAGCGUCGGAAUA